UUCACAUUACACGUAGCCUGUGUGAGUCUCGGACCGAUCACGAUUUUUCGUGCCGCGAAAUCGACAACGCGAGGAUCGGUUAAUUAUAAACGUUAUAGUUAUCUAUAAAUAUCAGAGUAAUUGGAAUAACCAAUCCAUAUAAUAUUGAAUUUGCAAUAUUUCGAGGAACCGAAUCGAUCACGACUUCCGUCGUCUCUGUUUUCCCGCCUUUUAGGCUGUUGGUGAAAAGCGCCUUGAAGUAAGGACUGACUGCGGAUAAAAUGGCGCGAUGCACUGGGAAAAUGUGGCCCGUGGCACAUCGUAUUGCACCGUCGCAUAAUUGCUGGUUUGCUCUGAAAUAUCGAUGCGUAUUAAUGGAAAAAUGAAUGGAUCAAACAUGAAAAGAAAUUGCAAUCGAAACAAUAAUAUCUUGGUAAUUGCUAAAAAUUGACGAAAAUAUAUAAAUACUUGUGACAAA